GUAUUUCUUGAAUCACAAAAGUUUUAAACUUUGAUGAAAUACAUUUUUUUAUGGAUUAUGAUUUUGAUGAUAUAUCUAAAAACUCUGGCUGAAGUCCUGAAGAUGUUCUAUGUUUUCUUCUAGAUGUUUUAUACUUUUGGCUCUAACAUCUAGAUUUACGAUCCAUUUUGAGUUAAUUUUUUAGUAUGAGAACUGCCUUGGCACCUUUUCAAAAUCAACAAACCAUAAAUGUCAGCGUUUAUUACUGGACUCCAACUUUAGUCCAUUGAUCUUUGUGCCCAUCUUUAUGCCAGGAUGACACUGUUCUGACUGAUGUCACUCUAGGAAGCUCUGAAGAGAGAAAUAGACCCAAACUCUGCCAAGGUUCCACACUGGCUGUGACCAGAGCAGGUGUCUCCACCUUCUGGACGCGAGUGUCCUCAUCUGUAAGAUUUUCCUUGUGCUAAAUCAUGGAAAUAUUUCAAGAAAAUCAUGGCUUUAAACACCUUCAAUAGAACAAAAGCUGUCCUGAACAUUUG